rnacentral:rRNA from 1 species
GUCUACGGCCAUGCUACCCCAAACAAGCCCGAUCCCAUCUGAUCUUGGAAGCAAAGCAGGGUCGGGCCUGGUUAGUACUUGGAUGGGAGACCACCUAGGAAGACCAGGUGCUGUAAGUG